GGGGACGAUCCGGUUUCGACUGCAAUGUCGUCAGUACAGCUGCAUGCCGAGUUUCCGUUGUCUCGUAAAAAAUGGCGGAUUAAACCUAAACGCAAACGACAACUUUGCACUCGCAGCUUAAAAGCUGCUAGCGUUCCCGGGAGGUCCCCGCUCCCUGGACAUCCGGGAGCGUCAAACAUGGGAGAUAGUCACGGUGAAUGCGUCCGGCGCCGGGGCGAAACUUUAGGACGAUAGAUCCCGGGUACGGUUCCUGUUCCUGGUACCGGGAUCAAAAUUCAACGAAUAGGAUAAGCAUGUAGAUGCUGUACGCGCGAGUUGUAGGACGCGGGUUCGACUCCCGCCGUCUCCAAAA
rnacentral:tmRNA from 1 species